rnacentral:lncRNA from 1 species
GGGGGUUUGCCUACUAGCCAUCCUACUAGCUAGAUUUUGUCAUCCACGUAUAUGAUUGCUUCAUAGGCCAUUCGGAGGUAUAUUUGAGAUCAUAUGUAUUAAGAUAUCGCAAGUAAUUCUUUCAUAAGCCUCCUCUACGAUGGUAUAAUAUAAUGUCUCAUUAAGGUCAAUUUGGUGGGGCAUCCAAACAAGCAUUUACAUGUUAAUUAGGAAACAAUUUGUGAGGAGGUUGAGGGAUGAGAAAUAUAUGCUAGAAGAACUCCAAAUCAAACAGCAUGAUCACCAAUAUAAAAGAUGUUUGAUGAUAUGAUGGAGUUCCUAGCCUCAAAUAUAAAAUGUCCUAUGGAUUUUCAAGCACAUAUGCUAUUCCUGCAAAAGAGGAGGAGCAUAAAUCCUCUAGAGUACAAAGUUUGCACUAUAGAAUGUUGUACAAUAUUUGAUAGCUACC